rnacentral:rRNA from 1 species
ACAAGAGUGCACCCGUCUCUGUGGCAAAAGAGUGGGAAGACCUUGCAGUAGCGGUGAAAAGCCAAACGAGCCUGGUGAUAGCUGGUUGCUCAACAAACGAAUUUAAGUUCGACUUUAGGUUUUACUCCCAAAUCUAAGUAAACAUUUAACCUAAAAGCUACUCAAUGAGGGUACAGCUUCAUUGACAUUGGAUACAACCCACACUAGAGAGAAAGAAACAUCAUCUAACCAGUAGGCCUUAAAGCCGCCACCAAUAACAAAAGCGUCACAGCACAAAACAAUAAAUACCAAACACAUAAACUAACUCCUAGCAGAACAUUGAGCCAAACUAUAACUAUAGAUAAACUACUGCUAAAACUAGUAACAAGAAACCUUCUCUCCGCACCCCUGUAACCCAGAAACAGAACAUCUACUGGACCUUAACAGACCAAAAUAGGCACACAACCCAUUGUACCCGCACUGUUAAACCAACACCGGAGUGCUAGUAAGACAGAUUAAAAGUUAUAUAAGGAACUCGGCAAGAUUUGUCCCAACUGUUUACCAAAAACAUAGCCUUUAGCAACACAAGUAUUAAAGGUCCCGCCUGCCCAGUG